rnacentral:rRNA from 2 species
CUGAAGGUCCCCAGGAGACGACUGGGUAGAUAGGCGGCAGGUGUAAGCGGAGCGAUCCGUUCAGCCGAGCCGUACUAAUCGACCGUGCGGCUCAAUUCC